rnacentral:rRNA from 1 species
GAUGAACGCUGGCGGCGUGCCUAAUACAUGCAAGUCGAGCGAACGGACGAGAAGCUUGCUUCUCUGAUGUUAGCGGCGGACGGGUGAGUAACACGUGGAUAACCUACCUAUAAGACUGGGAUAACUUCGGGAAACCGUAGCUAAUACCGGAUAAUAUUUUGAACCGCAUGGUUCAAAAGUGAAAGACGGUCUUGCUGUCACUUAUAGAUGGAUCCGCGCUGCAUUAGCUAGUUGGUAAGGUAACGGCUUACCAAGGCAACGAUGCAUAGCCGACCUGAGAGGGUGAGCUGCCACACUGGAACUGAGACACGGUCCAGACUCCUACGGGAGGCAGCAGUAGGGAAUCUUCCGCAAGGGGCGAAAGCCUGACGGAGCAACGCCGCGUGAGUGAUGAAGGUCUUCGGAUCGUAAAACUCUGUUAUUAGGAAAGAACAUAUGUGUAAGUAACUGUGCGCAUCUUGACGGUACCUAAUCAGAAAGCCACGGCUAACUACGUG